GUCACUUCUCAGCCUUUUGGCUAAGAUCAAGUGUAAUAUCUGUUUUUUCAGUUUAAUAUCUGAUAUGUCCUAAAUUAAAAAUA
rnacentral:snRNA from 10 species